CGGGCUGGCAGCGCGUCCCGCAGCUGCGUAUUCCGGGAGCAGGAACGGGCUGCAGUGCCUUCACCCACUGCCGAGCCUCAACAACGCGCGCGGCUGUAGCAACCUCCCUGCUAGACAGCACCGGAAUCCUACUGCAAACCUACUCCUUUCCCUGCACGUAAAUCUCCUGCCAGCCCAUUUUCUUAGAUUUGUCUGUGAUUUAAAAAUACCUCCAGAGCCCAUGUGUUUGGCUUUGUAGAACAUUUACCAGACCGAGGUGCAGAGUAAGGUCCUGUUUCCCUAACCAAAAGGACAGCCCUCUGUGCUGACUGCAGUUGGCUUGUGAGGAGGACCCCGCGUGAGCAAUUUUUAUGGACACACAGAACCCCCAAAAUAUUCUUCACCCGUGAAGACCCAGGCAGGAAGUCUGCAUUUCUACCUCACAAGGUCCCAUGGUUUGUGUUUCGUGCAUACUCUGCCCUAAAACCAACAGAAGCUCCCAGGGAAGGCUCAGAGAACAGCCUGGCAGCAUGA
rnacentral:lncRNA from 1 species